CCUACGGGAGGCAGCAGUGAGGAAUAUUGGUCAAUGGACGAGAGUCUGAACCAGCCAAGUAGCGUGAAGGAUGACUGCCCUAUGGGUUGUAAACUUCUUUUGUCAGGGAGCAACGCCGGCUACGUGUAGCCGGACUGAGAGUACCUGAAGAAAAAGCAUCGGCUAACUCCGUGCCAGCAGCCGCGGUAAUACGGAGGAUGCGAGCGUUAUCCGGAUUUAUUGGGUUUAAAGGGUGCGCAGGCGGAAUGUCAAGUCAGCGGUAAAAUUUCGGGGCUCAACCCCGUCGUGCCGUUGAAACUGGCGUUCUUGAGUGAGCGAGAAGUAUGCGGAAUGCGUGGUGUAGCGGUGAAAUGCAUAGAUAUCACGCAGAACUCCGAUUGCGAAGGCAGCAUACCGGCGCUCAACUGACGCUCAUGCACGAAAGCGUGGGUAUCGAACAGGAUUAGAUACCCCGGUAGUC
rnacentral:rRNA from 1 species